rnacentral:rRNA from 1 species
GACGAGCGCUGGCGGCGUGCUUAACACAUGCAAGUCGAGCGGUAAGGCCUCUUCGGGGGUACACGAGCGGCGAACGGGUGAGUAACACGUGGGUGACCUGCCCUCAGCUCUGGGAUAAGCCUGGGAAACUGGGUCUAAUACCGGAUAUGACCACAUGUUGCAUGGUGUGUGGUGGAAAGUUUUUUCGGCUGGGGAUGGGCCCGCGGCCUAUCAGCUUGUUGGUGGGGUGAUGGCCUACCAAGGCGACGACGGGUAGCCGGCCUGAGAGGGCGACCGGCCACACUGGGACUGAGACACGGCCCAGACUCCUACGGGAGGCAGCAGUGGGGAAUAUUGCGCAAUGGGCGGAAGCCUGACGCAGCGACGCCGCGUGGGGGAUGACGGCCUUCGGGUUGUAAACCUCUUUCGACCGGGACGAAGCGUAAGUGACGGUACCGGUAGAAGAAGCACCGGCCAACUACGUG